rnacentral:rRNA from 1 species
CCCUACGGGGGGCAGCAGUAAGGGAUAUUGGUCAAUGGGGGAAACCCUGAACCAGCAACGCCGCGUGAGGGAAGACGGUUUUCGGAUUGUAAACCUCUGUCCUCUGUGAAGAUGAUGACGGUAGCAGAGGAGGAAGCUCCGGCUAACUACGUGCCAGCAGCCGCGGUAAUACGUAGGGAGCGAGCGUUGUCCGGAUUUACUGGGUGUAAAGGGGGCGCAGACGGCGAUGCAAGCCAGGAGUGAAAGCCCGGGGCCCAACCCCGGGACUGCUCUUGGAACUGCGUGGCUAGAGUGCAGGAGGGGCG